GGAAUCUUCCGCAAUGGACGAAAGUCUGACGGAGCAACGCCGCGUGAGUGAUGAAGGUUUUCGGAUCGUAAAGCUCUGUUGUUAGGGAAGAACAAGUGCCGUUCAAAUAGGGCGGCACCUUGACGGUACCUAACCAGAAAGCCACGGCUAACUACGUGCCAGCAGCCGCGGUAAUACGUAGGUGGCAAGCGUUGUCCGGAAUUAUUGGGCGUAAAGGGCUCGCAGGCGGUUUCUUAAGUCUGAUGUGAAAGCCCCCGGCUCAACCGGGGAGGGUCAUUGGAAACUGGGGAACUUGAGUGCAGAAGAGGAGAGUGGAAUUCCACGUGUAGCGGUGAAAUGCGUAGAGAUGUGGAGGAACACCAGUGGCGAAGGCGACUCUCUGGUCUGUAACUGACGCUGAGGAGCGAAAGCGUGGGGAGCGAACAGGAUUAGAUACCCUGGUAGUCCACGCCGUAAACGAUGAGUGCUAAGUGUUAGGGGGUUUCCGCCCCUUAGUGCUGCAGCUAACGCAUUAAGCACUCCGCCUGGGGAGUACGGUCGCAAGACUGAAACUCAAAGGAAUUGACGGGGGCCCGCACAAGCGGUGGAGCAUGUGGUUUAAUUCGUUAAUCGAACGCGAAGAACCUUACCAGGUCUUGACAUCCUCUGACAAUCCUAGAGAUAGGACGUCCCCUUCGGGGGCAGAGUGACAGGUGGUGCAUGGUUGUCGUCAGCUCGUGUCGUGAGAUGUUGGGUUAAGUCCCGCAACGAGCGCAACCCUUGAUCUUAGUUGCCAGCAUUCAGUUGGGCACUCUAAGGUGACUGCCGGUGACAAACCGGAGGAAGGUGGGGGAUGAC
rnacentral:rRNA from 1 species